rnacentral:lncRNA from 1 species
UUACAUGAAGAAUCAAGACCCUCAGGUUGAUUAUUCAAUCAAUCAAAGGCUCGAGGGCUGAUAAACUACACCCAACAAUCAAUUUUUUCAAGUCGAAAGAGGAAGAUUCAAGAUUUUGACCCUUAGCCUGAUUCUACGACUCAACCUAAGGCUCGGGGACUACUCCAUAUGGAGUGCGACUUUCGCCGCCCUCCAUACAUGAAGACUAC